UGGAUAGCUCAGUCGGUAAAGCUUGAGUCUCUUAAUCUCAGGGUUGUGGGUGCAAGCCUCACAUGGGGCAAAA